CCGUUCGUGCGUGCGUGAUGCCGCUACAGAGAGGGCAACUCAGACACCGCCAUAUGCUUCUGAUCACGAGCAUUCGUGUGUAUGCGUAUUGUUGCAACGGUGCCUCAUCUGGCACGGCCCUGUGGGCUUCCGUGAUGGAGGCUUCUUGUUGUGUACGCUACCAUGAAGCCACUGUUUGAUACCGCUGUUGAGUUCGGCAGUGCUUGAAGAGAAGGACGCAGCUGCUUAACUUUUGUUGACAUAGUGCUUGUGUAUUCACUCGUAUGCCAGGCCUUUGGCUCUCACGCCUGCAGUGCUGCUUUCGUUUCACGUUUGAUGUGGUAGAUAGUAGCAGAGGCAAUAGCAGAAUAUCGACUUCGUGACUUGCAGAUGCCCUAAAAUACAAUCUAGUUCAAGUAGGCGAUACCAUAAAGUAGUGUCUCUUCCGUGAUAACGCAGUCGUAAUGCUGACCACCUUCCGUCCGUCCUCAUACGCCCGAGUUAGGGGGGCAGGGGCAACUCAGGAGGCACACAAUGUGAGUGUUUUUCUUCUCUCGAAAUGGUAGCAUGCCCGGUUGGUCUUCUGAUUCAAAUGCGCACCAUGCGGUUGAUGUACGCAAUCGAUCGUGUCCCGUAUCUUCCCUAGAGACUGCGCUAAAGCAAUGCCAUGGCAGAGGAUACUUGGAUAUCAUAGAUUUGGCGUGUUGUUAGUUCCUGUCCCUCUUGCGGAUGGAACAAUUGUGUUCUAACCGAAAAUUUUUGC
rnacentral:lncRNA from 1 species